rnacentral:lncRNA from 1 species
AGGGUUGACAAAAAAAAGUGUUUGUGAAAAGAGGAAGAAGACAAUGGUCAAAGUAAGAACGAACCAAACAACACGUGAAAGAUAAACACAUGCUUUUGUGUUGUAGGCGGAGAACACGUUGCUGUUUUCUGGUUUUCUAAUGGACCCCAAAACGGCACGUCGUUGAACUUUUUCUCUUUGUUGUGUUUGUUCUAAAAUUCUUAUUUUACUUCACCAAAAAACUAAAUCUCCGCCAAUUUAUACCAUGAUUAUCGGUAAAACCCAAAUAGGGUCCUUAAGAAUUUUAUUUUUUUUGUUUUCUCAAAUAAAAAAAAAUUAAAAAAAUAAACCAAUCGUGGACCGCCACGUAUCGGUGGGACCCGCAAACAGUGCAAAAACUCUCCAAAGACCGAUCUUUAUUUGGUGAUUUUGAAAACUGGUUUUAAAAUUUUUGUGAGAUCCACGCGUCAGUGGGACCCACAUUUUGUCAAAAACCUCUUUUAAAAUCCUGAGAUAUUUAUGCUCUUAGCAGUUUAAACAUAAUUAAUGGAAGUUUUUAGGGUGGAGUUAUCAGCGGAAUAUAAGAAACCGUCUCUUAACGUUUAACUAAAAA